UACGUAGGUGGCAAGCGUUGUCCGGAAUUAUUGGGCGUAAAGCGCGCGCAGGCGGUCCUUUAAGUCUGAUGUGAAAGCCCACGGCUCAACCGUGGAGGGUCAUUGGAAACUGGGGGACUUGAGUGCAGGAGAGAAGAGUGGAAUUCCACGUGUAGCGGUGAAAUGCGUAGAGAUGUGGAGGAACACCAGUGGCGAAGGCGGCUACCUGGACCGGUACUGACGCUGAGGCGCGAAAGCUGGGGUAGCAAACAGG
rnacentral:rRNA from 1 species